CUGCCCCCUACUGUAGUAACAGCAGAGGUCUAUACUGCCCCCUACUGUAGUAACAGAGGUCUAUACUGCCCCCUACUGUAGGAACAGCAGAAGUCUAUACUGCCCCCUACUGUAGCAACAGCAGAGGUCUAUACUGCCCCCUACUGUAGGAACAGCAGAAGUCUAUACUGCCCCCUACUGUAGUAACAGAGGUCUAUACUGCCCCCUA